GGAGAAAAGCAGGGGAUCGCAAGACCUUGCGCUUUUGGAGCGGCCGAUGCCUGAUUAGCUUGUUGGUGAGGUAAAAGCUCACCAAGGCUCCGAUCAGUAGCUGGUCUGAGAGGACGACCAGCCACACUGGGACUGAGACACGGCCCAGACUCCUACGGGAGGCAGCAGUGGGGAAUUUUGGACAAUGGGGGCAACCCUGAUCCAGCCAUGCCGCGUGAGUGAAGAAGGCCUUCGGGUUGUAAAGCUCUUUCAGCCGGAACGAAACGGUCACGGUUAAUACCCGUGACUACUGACGGUACCGGAAGAAGAAGCACCGGCUAACUACGUGCCAGCAGCCGCGGUAAUACGUAGGGUGCGAGCGUUAAUCGGAAUUACUGGGCGUAAAGCGUGCGCAGGCGGUUUUGUAAGUUAGAUGUGAAAUCCCCGGGCUUAACCUGGGAACUGCGUUUGAAACUACAAAGCUAG
rnacentral:rRNA from 1 species